AUUGAACGCUGGCGGCAGGCCUAACACAUGCAAGUCGAACGGUAACAGAAAGCAGCUUGCUGCUUUGCUGACGAGUGGCGGACGGGUGAGUAAUGUCUGGGAAACUGCCUGAUGGAGGGGGAUAACUACUGGAAACGGUAGCUAAUACCGCAUAACGUCGCAAGACCAAAGAGGGGGACCUUCGGGCCUCUUGCCAUCGGAUGUGCCCAGAUGGGAUUAGCUAGUAGGUGGGGUAACGGCUCACCUAGGCGACGAUCCCUAGCUGGUCUGAGAGGAUGACCAGCCACACUGGAACUGAGACACGGUCCAGACUCCUGCGGGACGCAGCAGUGGGGAAUAUUGCACAGUGGGGGCAAGCCUUAUGCAGCCAUGCCGCGUGUAUGAAGAAGGCCUUCGGGUUGUGAAGUACGUUCAGCGGGGAGGAAGGGAGUAAAGUUAAUACCUUUGCUCAUUGACGUUACCCGCAGAAGAAGCACCGGCUAACUCCGUG
rnacentral:rRNA from 1 species